UACAGAGGUCCCAAGCGUUGUUCGGAAUCACUGGGCGUAAAGGGCGCGUAGGCGGUUCUUUAAGUCGGGGGUGAAAGCCUGAGGCUCAACCUCAGAAUUGCCUUCGAUACUGGAGAUCUUGAGACCGGAAGAGGUAAGUGGAACUGCGAGUGUAGAGGUGAAAUUCGUAGAUAUUCGGAAGAACACCAGUGGCGAAGGCGGCUUACUGGACCGGUUCUGACGCUGAGGCGCGAAAGCGUGGGGAGCAAACAGG
rnacentral:rRNA from 1 species